rnacentral:rRNA from 2 species
UAUAAUAAAAUAGCCAGGUCGGAAAAGAACUCUGGUAUUGAUUGGUGCUUGCAUCAUGAUUUACAUUUGAGUGAGAGGCGAACUGGUGAGUAACACGUGGGAAACCUGCCCAGAAGCGGGGGAUAACACCUGGAAACAGAUGCUAAUACCGCAUAACAACUUGGACCGCAUGGUCCGAGUUUGAAAGAUGGCUUCGGCUAUCACUUUUGGAUGGUCCCGCGGCGUAUUAGCUAGAUGGUGAGGUAACGGCUCACCAUGGCAAUGAUACGUAGCCGACCUGAGAGGGUAAUCGGCCACAUUGGGACUGAGACACGGCCCAAACUCCUACGGGAGGCAGCAGUAGGGAAUCUUCCACAAUGGACGAAAGUCUGAUGGAGCAACGCCGCGUGAGUGAAGAAGGGUUUCGGCUCGUAAAACUCUGUUGUUAAAGAAGAACAUAUCUGAGAGUAACUGUUCAGGUAUUGACGGUAUUUAACCAGAAAGCCACGGCUAACUACGUGCCAGCAGCCGCGGUAAUACGUAGGUGGCAAGCGUUGUCCGGAUUUAUUGGGCGUAAAGCGAGCGCAGGCGGUUUUUUAAGUCUGAUGUGAAAGCCUUCGGCUCAACCGAAGAAGUGCAUCGGAAACUGGGAAACUUGAGUGCAGAAGAGGACAGUGGAACUCCAUGUGUAGCGGUGAAAUGCGUAGAUAUAUGGAAGAACACCAGUGGCGAAGGCGGCUGUCUGGUCUGUAACUGACGCUGAGGCUCGAAAGUAUGGGUAGCAAACAGGAUUAGAUACCCUGGUAGUCCAUACCGUAAACGAUGAAUGCUAAGUGUUGGAGGGUUUCCGCCCUUCAGUGCUGCAGCUAACGCAUUAAGCAUUCCGCCUGGGGAGUACGGCCGCAAGGCUGAAACUCAAAGGAAUUGACGGGGGCCCGCACAAGCGGUGGAGCAUGUGGUUUAAUUCGAAGCUACGCGAAGAACCUUACCAGGUCUUGACAUACUAUGCAAAUCUAAGAGAUUAGACGUUCCCUUCGGGGACAUGGAUACAGGUGGUGCAUGGUUGUCGUCAGCUCGUGUCGUGAGAUGUUGGGUUAAGUCCCGCAACGAGCGCAACCCUUAUUAUCAGUUGCCAGCAUUAAGUUGGGCACUCUGGUGAGACUGCCGGUGACAAACCGGAGGAAGGUGGGGAUGACGUCAAAUCAUCAUGCCCCUUAUGACCUGGGCUACACACGUGCUACAAUGGAUGGUACAACGAGUUGCGAACUCGCGAGAGUAAGCUAAUCUCUUAAAGCCAUUCUCAGUUCGGAUUGUAGGCUGCAACUCGCCUACAUGAAGUCGGAAUCGCUAGUAAUCGCGGAUCAGCAUGCCGCGGUGAAUACGUUCCCGGGCCUUGUACACACCGCCAAGUCGACGACCUAUGCAGAAGCUUUUUGGA